AGAGAACAGAGAACUCUGAGACAGCUGAGUGGGACAAGCAAACAUGCUGCUGCUGGCAGCACUGGUAGCCACAACCACUUGGUCUCAUGGAUUUGCACAGGAAAUUCCCAUACAGACCCCUACAUCCAUCACCAAAUCUAAAGGAAGUACACGUCUGCAAUGUCAUUUUAAAGAUGUCUCUGCAAAUUUUGAUAACACCAUCAUUCACUGGUACCAACAGAAGGAGAAUAAAGCUCCAGAGUGGAUGUUCUUCAUUUCAUCAGGGACAACAGUAGUAGAUGAGAGCUUCCGAGGGCGCAUGUAUACAAUUGAAAGGAUUUCUAGACAGAAAAUUUGUACUCUCACAAUAAGCAAUAUAAUUCCAGAUGACACAGCUACCUACUACUGUGCCUACUGGGACUCUGACUACAGCAGAAACCCAGCGAUCACCUCGACCAAUUCUCCCUCGGUGGCUCAACCACAAACGAUUUGAAAGAUCCUGUCCUGGUUUCAGUUAGGACAGAGUUAAUUUUCCUCCUAGUAGCUGGCAGGGUGCUAUGUUUUGGAUUAGGAUGAGAAGAGCGCUGAUAACAUGCUGAUGUUUUAAUUGUUGUAGAGCAGUGCUUACACCAAGCCAAGGACUUUUCAGCUUCUCGCUCUGUCCUGCUAGCGAGCAGGCUGGGGGUGCAGCAGGAGCUGGGAGGGGACAGACCCAGGACAGCUGACCCAAACUAGCCAAAGGGGUAUUCCAUACCAUCUGACGUCAUGC